AUCGGUAAGGAAACGAUAGCUCCGAUGUAAAAGUCGGGGAGGAAGGUCCGGACGCUUAUAGAAGUAUCCGUUAACAACGGACCGCAGUAAUGCGAGAGGUGCGAGCAGUGACGCUCUGGUCCGAAAGGGUCGGAGAAGCCUAAUCCCAAGCUAAAUGGCUUAAUCCUGUUAUAGGGACAAAAAGACAGGAAUGAAACGGCUAAAUCCUUACUAAGCGCAAGGCCGAACUGAGUAUCUAACGCUUUGAAUACUUGGAGUGCCGCUAGAGUUCGCGAGUAAUCAAGGACCCAGAUAAAUUAUCGUUUAGACACAAAAUCCGGCCUAUCACUUACCGAUAAAA
rnacentral:RNase_P_RNA from 2 species